GCGGACGGUCAGUAACACGUAGUCCACCUUACUCGUGGACGUGGAUAACCUCGGGAAACUGAGAAUAAACCACGAUAGAUCAUAGUGCCUGGAAUGGCUUAUGGUCCAAACAGUUUACUGCCAUGGGAUGGGACUGCGGCCUAUCAGCUUGUUGGUGAGGUAAUGGCCCACCAAGGCGAUUACAGGUACGGNCUCUGAGAGGAGAAGCCCGGAGAUGGGUACUGAGACACGGACCCAGGCCCUAUGGGGCGCAGCAGGCGAGAAACCUUAGCAAUGUGCGAAAGCACGACUGGGUCAGUCCGAGUGAUUCCUGAUAAAGGAGUCUUUUGCUUGUCCUAAAAGCACAGGUGAAUAAGGGGUGGGCAAGUCUGGUGUCAGCCGCCGCGGUAAUACCAGCACCUCGAGUGGUCAGGACGUUUAUUGGGCCUAAAGCAUCCGUAGCCGGCUUUGCAAGUCUUCGGUUAAAUCCACCUGCUCAACAGAUGGGCCGCUGGAGAUACUACAGAGCUAGGGAGUGGGAGAGGCAGACGGUAUUCAGUGGGUAGGGGUAAAAUCCUCUGAUCCAUUGAGGACCACCAGUGGCGAAGGCGGUCUGCCAGAACACGUUCGACGGUGAGGGAUGAAAGCUGGGGGAGCAAACCGGAUUAGAUACCCGGGUAGUCCCAGCUGUAAACGAUGCAAACUCGGUGAUGCAUUGGCUUAUGGCCA
rnacentral:rRNA from 1 species